GAUUAUGCAUGUGAAAAAUCUUAUGUAGCAUCAAACGCAGUUGAUCGAGACAUGUCAACAUGUUCAAAAAGCGAAGAUAUUGGGCUUAAUUCUACCAAGAAAAGUUAUUGGUGGAGUGUUGAUCUUGGAAAGAUUUACAGCGUAUACAGCAUCAGUAUCUUGUUCAAGAACUAUAAUGGUUAUGAAAUGCGACAAAGAGGCCGUUUUGCGGGUUUUUCUCUUUAUUUGUCGAAUUCAAGUCUCCAAAAGAGUGACUUCUUGUGUUAUGAGGAUAGAGAAAAAUUGCCUUCAUUAAAUUUUACGACAACGUGUGUCGGACACGGACAAUACGUUACAUUUUACAAUCAACGACGCAAAGAAACCAAUUAUCCAGACGAAUACCAACAAAAUACAGUCAUUGAAUUAUGCGAAGUUAUAGUGAAUGGUUGUAGCGAAGCCGAUGUGUAUGGAGAAAAUUGUGACAGAG